UACGUAGGGUGCGAGCGUUGUCCGGAAUUACUGGGCGUAAAGAGCUUGUAGGCGGUCUGUCACGUCGAUUGUGAAAACUUGCAGCUCAACUGCAAGCUUGCAGUCGAUACGGGCAGACUAGAGUACUUCAGGGGAGGCUGGAAUUCCUGGUGUAGCGGUGGAAAUGCGCAGAUAUCAGGAGGAACACCGGUGGCGAAGGCGGGUCUCUGGGAAGUAACUGACGCUGAGAAGCGAAAGCAUGGGGAGCGAACAGG
rnacentral:rRNA from 1 species